AAAGUUCACCAAUUUACGAAAAUACCCUCUCCGAAGAGACGGAUGUUCUGAUCUGUUCCCUCCGUUCUUCGCGACUCCACACUCCUCAUUUUCUGUUUGUAAUAAUUCUCCAGUCGCAAAUUUAAUACUUUAAUUGAAAGAAAAGAAAAAAUCUGUAAUGCAGCAUCUGCUGAUUCAGAAACCUCCAACAAUCACCACAUGUUCAAUAACAACCGCUUCAAGCGGAAGAUUUACUCCGUCGAUUUUGCCGCCGAUGUCCACCACCAAACUACCACGGCUGCAGCAGAUAACACCUGUGGGCUGUCGGAGACGUAGGAUAAAGUGUAUGGCAAACCCGAGGAGAUUGAAAAUGGUGGCAAACCAGAUAAGAAGAGAGAUUUCAGACAUGCUAAUCACUGACAAGGUUUUGCAGUGUGCCGUCCUACCGGAAGCUGCUCUCGGCGCCGAUCGUUAUCUAUCGUCUCUCACUACUGUCAGCGACGUCGAAGUCUCCGCCGACUUGCAGGUUGUAAAAGUUUAUGUAUCUGUAUUUGGUGAUGAAAGAGGAAAGGAAGUAGCACUUACAGGGCUGAAGUCCAAAGCAAAAUAUGUUCGGAGCGAGCUAGGGAGGCGCAUGAAAUUAAGGCUGACUCCUGAGAUUCGCUUUAUUGAGGAUGAGUCUCUAGAACAAGGGAGCAGGGUUAUUGCUAUAUUGGACAGAAUAAAGAAAGAGAAUGAGGAAAAGGAGGCAAAUGGUCAAGGGGAUGAUCAGUACGAGUCAUCUAAUCAAACUGAAGAAGAUGAGGAGUGGGAGGGUGAUGAUGACGAAGGAAUUAUUUAUGUCAAGUAGUUCCUUGGAAUGGGGGGUGUGACUUGUGAGUAGCGAUUUCAGAGUUGAGCAUGCUUGGCUUCUUAAAUGGUUAUUAUUCCAUUGACUCGGUGAAUUAAUCAUUUUCAACAACUCAAAAUUUAGCAACAUUUCAUGGUUUGCAGGACUGGUGUUUUCAUAGUUUGCAUGCAACAAAUUAGUGCGCUGACUUCCUGAAGUUAUAUAACAGAAAGGUGAAGAAUGUUACUUGUGGACAAUAUGCAUCUGGAUGAAAGGACCUGGCCGUAAAACCUUCUUUCCUUGCUCAUCUUUGGUGCAGCAAUAGAAUAAACCGUCUCAUUUUAGAUUAAUAUGUUAUCACUGAGUCGUCAUGCUCUUAAUGUCCCGUUCUGAGGUAGGAGUUCUGUGUAUAAACCUAAGACUAGAUCUAUAAAAAAUGUAUAAACCAUGGAUUAACGCAAGGGAGCAUCUAUAUUGUUACAGAAGAAAGGCCACUGAUCUU